GACAGAGGGUGCAAACGUUGUUCGGAAUUACUGGGCGUAAAGCGCGUGUAGGCGGCCAUCUAAGUCGGGCGUGAAAUCCCACGGCUCAACCGUGGAAGUGCACUCGAAAACUGGAUGGCUAGAGUCCUGGAGAGGAAGGUGGAAUGCUUGGUGUAGAGGUGAAAUUCGUAGAUAUCAAAGCGGAACACCGGUGGCGAAGG
rnacentral:rRNA from 1 species